rnacentral:rRNA from 1 species
GACGACGCUGGCGGCGUGGAUUAGGCAUGCAAGUCGAACGGUAUCAUCCUUUCGGGGGUGAGAGAGUGGCGAACUGGUGAAGUAACACGUAGGUUAUCUACCCUCAAGACGGGACAACCCAGGGAAACUUGGGCUAAUACCGGAUGUGAGCAACUUUUAGUUGUUGAAAGGUGGCGUAAGCUGUCGCUUGGGGAUGAGCCUGCGUCCUAUUAGUUAGUUGGUGAGGUAACGGCUCACCUAGGCAAUGAUAGGUAGGCGGCCUUAACGGGUGGUCGCCCACACUGGGAUUGAGAUACGGCCCAGACUCCUACGGGAGGCAGCAGUCGAGAAUAGUCUACAAUGGUCGGAAGACUGAUAGUGCGACGCCGCGUGAACGAUGAAUCCCUUCGGGGUGUAAAGUUCUUUUAUAUGUGAGCAGUGCUUCUUAUAUUAACAGUAUGGGGAGAGAGAUAUUAGCAUAUGAAUAAGCAACGGCUAACUCCGUG